GAUGAACGCUGGCGGCGUGCCUAAUACAUGCAAGUCGAGCGAACAGACGAGGAGCUUGCUCCUCUGACGUUAGCGGCGGACGGGUGAGUAACACGUGGAUAACCUACCUAUAAGACUGGGAUAACUUCGGGAAACCGGAGCUAAUACCGGAUAAUAUAUUGAACCGCAUGGUUCAAUAGUGAAAGACGGUUUUACUGUCACUUAUAGAUGGAUCCGCGCCGCAUUAGCUAGUUGGUAAGGUAACGGCUUACCAAGGCAACGAUGCGUAGCCGACCUGAGAGGGUUAUCGGCCACACUGGAACUGAGACACGGUCCAGACUCCUACGGGAGGCAGCAGUAGGGAAUCUUCCGCAAUGGGCGAAAGCCUGACGGAGCAACGCCGCGUGAGUGAUGAAGGUCUUCGGAUCGUAAAACUCUGUUAUUAGGGAAGAACAAAUGUGUAAGUAACUAUGCACGUCUUGACGGUACCUAAUCAGAAAGCCACGGCUAACUACGUG
rnacentral:rRNA from 1 species